GAUGAACGCUGGCGGCGUGCCUAAUACAUGCAAGUCGAGCGAACGGACGAGAAGCUUGCUUCUCUGAUGUUAGCGGCGGACGGGUGAGUAACACGUGGAUAACCUACCUAUAAGACUGGGAUAACUUCGGGAAACCGGAGCUAAUACCGGAUGAUAUUUUGAACCGCAUGGUUCAAAAGUGAAAGACGGUCUUGCUGUCACUUAUAGAUGGAUCCGCGCUGCAUUAGCUAGUUGGUAAGGUAACGGCUUACCAAGGCAACGAUGCAUAGCCGACCUGAGAGGGUGAUCGGCCACACGAGAACUGAGACGCGGUCCAGACUCCUACGAGAGGCAGCAGUAGGGAAUCGUCCGCAAUGGGCGAAAGCCUGACGGAGCAACGCCGCGUGAGUGAUGAAAGUCUUCGGAUCGUAAAACUCUGUUAUUAGGGAAGAACAUAUGUGUAAGUAACUGUGCACAUCUUGACGGUACCUAAUCAGAAAGCCACGGCUAACUACGUG
rnacentral:rRNA from 1 species